rnacentral:misc_RNA from 1 species
GAAAACAUUGUCAAAGACAAGAAGAAAUAACAGAAAUAUCUACAAUCAGAUCCAAAUUAGAAGGAUGAGUUGAUGACUGCCAUGGCAUGUUUCAUCAAGGAUGAUGAUGCAUUCUAUACUCCAAUUGAAAACCAGUGCCGAUCAUAGAGUAAUAUGAAUUUCACAUAAUAUGAGUGUUCACCAUGAGUACCAUAUCCCUCUAGUGGAUGCCACAUCAAAUUUCAAUAAAAUUUUCAUCCUAUAAAUAUUAGGAAUCUAAUUAUUUAAGACAGGGAUUCAAAUUAGUUAUUGAUAAGCAAACUACGUAUCCACAAAAAGAAGAUGACGCAGAACUGUUUUUACAGUUUAACUGGUGAGCCUAAAAGGUCCUCCGUGAAUGAUUGAUCUUAUUCAAGUUUGUAGAGUUCCAAUAGGCCAAGCAAAACAAGCAACAUUGAGUAUACUGUCUCAAUGGGAGAGGAAGAGCAACUUGUGGAUUCUUCGGUCAGUCCCAAAGAACCUUUUAAAAUUGCUGCUUAUGGGCUUCUGGGUUCCUCAGAGGAUGUCAGUCUCUUUCCAAAAAGUACAUAAGUAUAAACUUGUGCAUUCUUCAUAAUUGCCACAUUCUAGGGGCUUAAU